GAUGAAGAACGCAGCGAAAUGCGCUAAGUAAUGUGAAUUGCAGAAUUCAGUGAAUCAUCGAAUCUUUGAACGCACAUUGCGCCCGCCAGUAUUCUGGCGGGCAUGCCUGUUCGAGCGUCAUUUCAACCAUCAAGCCCCCGGCUUGUGUUGGGGACCUGCGGCUGCCGCAGGCCCUGAAAAGCAGUGGCGGGCUCGCUGUCACACCGAGCGUAGUAGCAUACAUCUCGCUCUGGGCGUGCUGCGGGUUCCGGCCGUUAAACCACCUUCAUAACCCAAGGUUGACCUCGGAUCAGGUAGGAAGACCCGCUGAACUUAAGCAUAUCAAUAAGCGGAGGA
rnacentral:misc_RNA from 1 species